rnacentral:tRNA from 1 species
AUUUAAAUAGCUUAUAAAUAGAGCAUGAUAUUGAAGAUAUCAAGGAAAUAUUAUUAUUUUUAAAUA